AUUGAACGCUGGCGGCAGGCCUAACACAUGCAAGUCGAGCGGAGCGGCGGACGGGUGAGUAAUGCCUAGGAAUCUGCCUGGUCGUGGGGGGUAAAGUCCGGAAACGGGCGCUAAUCCCGCAUACUAUCAGAUGAGCCUAGGUCGGAUUAGCUAGUUGGUGGGGUAAAGGCCUACCAAGGCGACGAUCCGUAACUGGUCUGAGAGGAUGAUCAGUCACGGUGGAAGUGAGACACGGGCCAGGCUCCUAGGGUGGGCGGCAGUAGGGAAUAUUGGACAUUGGGCGAAAACCUGAUCCAGCCAUGCAGGGAGUGUGAAGAAGGUAUUCGGAAUGUAAAGCACUUUAAGUUGGGAGGCGUUACCAACAGAAUAAGCACGGGCUAGCUUCGUGCCAGCAGCCGCGGUAAUAC
rnacentral:rRNA from 1 species